ACUAAUCCUAGCCCUAGCCCUACACAAAUAUAAUUAUACUAUUAUAUAAAUCAAAACAUUUAUCCUACUAAAAGUAUUGGAGAAAGAAAUUCGUACAUCUAGGAGCUAUAGAACUAGUACCGCAAGGGAAAGAUGAAAGACUAAUUAAAAGUAAGAACAAGCAAAGAUUAAACCUUGUACCUUUUGCAUAAUGAACUAACUAGAAAACUUCUAACUAAAAGAAUUACAGCUAGAAACCCCGAAACCAAACGAGCUACCUAAAAACAAUUUUAUGAAUCAACUCGUCUAUGUGGCAAAAUAGUGAGAAGAUUUUUAGGUAGAGGUGAAAAGCCUAACGAGCUUGGUGAUAGCUGGUUACCCAAAAAAUGAAUUUAAGUUCAAUUUUAAACUUGCUAAAAAAACAACAAAAUCAAAAAGUAAGUUUAGAUUAUAGCCAAAAGAGGGACAGCUCUUCUGGAACGGAAAAAACCUUUAAUAGUGAAUAAUUAACAAAACAGCUUUUAACCAUUGUAGGCCUAAAAGCAGCCACCAAUAAAGAAAGCGUUCAAGCUCAACAUAAAAUUUCAAUUAAUNCCAUAAUUUACACCAACUUCCUAAACUUAAAAUUGGGUUAAUCUAUAACUUUAUAGAUGCAACACUGUUAGUAUGAGUAACAAGAAUUCCAAUUCUCCAGACAUACGCGUAUAACAACUCGGAUAACCAUUGUUAGUUAAUCAGACUAUAGGCAAUAAUCACACUAUAAAUAAUCCACCUAUAACUUCUCUGUUAACCCAACACCGGAAUGCCUAAAGGAAAGAUCCAAAAAGAUAAAAGGAACUCGGCAAACAAGAACCCCGCCUGUUUACCAAAAACAUCACCUCUAGCAUUACAAGUAUUAGAGGCACUGCCUGCCCAGUGACUAAAGUUUAACGGCCGCGGUAUCCUGACCGUGCAAAGGUAGCAUAAUCACUUGUUCCUUAAUUAGGGACUAGCAUGAACGGCUAAACGAGGGUCCAACUGUCUCUUAUCUUUAAUCAGUGAAAUUGACCUUUCAGUGAAGAGGCUGAAAUAUAAUAAUAAGACGAGAAGACCCUAUGGAGCUUAAAUUAUAUAACUUAUCUAUUUAAUUUAUUAAACCUAAUGGCCCAAAAACUAUAGUAUAAGUUUGAAAUUUCGGUUGGGGUGACCUCGGAGAAUAAAAAAUCCUCCGAAUGAUUAUAACCUAGACUUACAAGUCAAAGUAAAAUCAACAUAUCUUAUUGACCCAGAUAUAUUUUGAUCAACGGACCAAGUUACCCUAGGGAUAACAGCGCAAUCCUAUUUAAGAGUUCAUAUCGACAAUUAGGGUUUACGACCUCGAUGUUGGAUCAGGACAUCCCAAUGGUGUAGAAGCUAUUAAUGGUUCGUUUGUUCAACGAUUAAAGUCCUACGUGAUCUGAGUUCAGACCGGAGCAAUCCAGGUCGGUUUCUAUCUAUUUACGAUUUCUCCCAGUACGAAAGGACAAGAGAAAUAGAGCCANCUUACAAAUAAGCGCUCUCAACUUAAUUUAUGAAUAAAAUCUAAAUAAAAUAUAUACGUACACCCUCUAACCUAGAGAAGGUU
rnacentral:rRNA from 1 species